rnacentral:rRNA from 1 species
UACAGAGGGUGCAAGCGUUGUUCGGAAUUAUUGGGCGUAAAGGGCGCGUAGGCGGUGCGGUAAGUCUGUAGUGAAAUCUCUGGGCUCAACUCAGAGUCUGCUAUAGAAACUGCCGUGCUGGAGUGUGGGAGAGGAGAGUGGAAUUCCUGGUGUAGCGGUGAAAUGCGCAGAUAUCAGGAAGAACACCCGUGGCGAAGGCGGCUCACUGGCCCGGUACUGACGCUGAGGUGCGAAAGCGUGGGGAGCAAACAGG